rnacentral:rRNA from 1 species
GAGUUUGAUCAUGGCUCAGAUUGAACGCUGGCGGCAUGCCUUACACAUGCAAGUCGAACGGCAGCACGGGAGCUUGCUCCUGGUGGCGAGUGGCGAACGGGUGAGUAAUGCAUCGGAACGUAUCCUGGAGUGGGGGAUAACGUAGCGAAAGUUACGCUAAUACCGCAUAUUCUGUGAGCAGGAAAGCGGGGGACCUUCGGGCCUCGCGCUCUUGGAGCGGCCGAUGUCGGAUUAGCUAGUUGGUGAGGUAAAGGCUCACCAAGGCGACGAUCCGUAGCAGGUCUGAGAGGAUGAUCUGCCACACUGGAACUGAGACACGGUCCAGACUCCUACGGGAGGCAGCAGUGGGGAAUUUUGGACAAUGGGGGCAACCCUGAUCCAGCCAUGCCGCGUGAGUGAAGAAGGCCUCGGUUGGUAAGUACGU